rnacentral:rRNA from 1 species
AGUGAACGCUGGCGGUAGGCCUAACACAUGCAAGUCGAACGGCAGCACAGUAAGAGCUUGCUCUUACGGGUGGCGAGUGGCGGACGGGUGAGGAAUACAUCGGAAUCUACUUUUUCGUGGGGGAUAACGUAGGGAAACUUACGCUAAUACCGCAUACGACCUACGGGUGAAAGCAGGGGAUCUUCGGACCUUGCGCGAUUGAAUGAGCCGAUGUCGGAUUAGCUAGUUGGCGGGGUAAAGGCCCACCAAGGCGACGAUCCGUAGCUGGUCUGAGAGGAUGAAGAACCACACUGGAACUGAGACACGGGCCAGGCUCCGACGGGAGGCAGGAGUGGGGAAAAAUGGACAAUGGGCGCAAGCCUGAUCCAGGCAUACCGCGUUGGUGAAGAAAGCCUUCGGGGUGGAAAACCCUUUUGUUGGGAAAAAAAAGCAGCAGGUUAAUACCCCGCUGUUCUGACGGUACCCAAAGGAUAAGCACCGGCUAACUUCGUG